GACGAACGCUGGCGGCGUGCUUAACACAUGCAAGUCGCACGAAGUGGCGAACGGGUGAGUAACGCGUCAUCAACCUGCCCUUCAGAGGGGGACAACAGUUGGAAACGACUGCUAAUACCGCAUACUGAAGGAGGGGAUUGCGUCUGAUUAGCUAGUUGGAGGGGUAACGGCCCACCCAGGCGAGGAUCAGUAGCCGGUCUGAGAGGAUGACCGGCCACGUUGGGACUGAGACACGGCCCAGACUCCUACGGGAGGCAGCAGUGGUGAAUCUUCCGCAAUGGACGAAAGUCUGACGGAGCAACGCCGCGUGAGUGAUGACGGCUUUCGGGUUGUAAAGCUCUGUUAAUCGGGACGCGGUACCGGAAUAGAAAGCCACGGCUAACUACGUGCCAGCAGCCGCGGUAAUUC
rnacentral:rRNA from 1 species